rnacentral:rRNA from 1 species
UGGGGAAUUUUGGACAAUGGGCGAAAGCCUGAUCCAGCAAUGCCGCGUGUGUGAAGAAGGCCUUCGGGUUGUAAAGCACUUUUGUCCGGAAAGAAAUCCUUGGCUCUAAUACAGUCGGGGGAUGACGGUACCGGAAGAAUAAGCACCGGCUAACUACGUGCCAGCAGCCGCGGUAAUACGUAGGGUGCAAGCGUUAAUCGGAAUUACUGGGCGUAAAGCGUGCGCAGGCGGUUUGCUAAGACCGAUGUGAAAUCCCCGGGCUCAACCUGGGAACUGCAUUGGUGACUGGCAGGCUAGAGUAUGGCAGAGGGGGGUAGAAUUCCACGUGUAGCAGUGAAAUGCGUAGAGAUGUGGAGGAAUACCGAUGGCGAAGGCAGCCCCCUGGGCCAAUACUGACGCUCAUGCACGAAAGCGUGGGGAGCAAAACAGGAUUAGAUACCCUGGUAGUCCACGCCCUAAACGAUGUCAACUAGUUGUUAGGGAUUCAUUUUCCUUAGUAACGUAGCUAACGCGUGAAGUUGACCGCCUGGGGAGUACGGUCGCAAGAUUAAAACUCAAAUGAAUUGACGGGGUCAUAGCUG